rnacentral:rRNA from 1 species
UUUCGCCUACGGGGGGCAGCAGUGGGGAAUAUUGCGCAAUGGGGGAAACCCUGACGCAGCAACGCCGCGUGAGUGAAGAAGGCCUUCGGGUUGUAAAGCUCUUUAAUCAGGGACGAAGAAUGACGGUACCUGAAGAAUAAGCCACGGCUAACUACGUGCCAGCAGCCGCGGUAAUACGUAGGUGGCAAGCGUUGUCCGGAUUUACUGGGUGUAAAGGGCGUGCAGCCGGAGAGACAAGUCAGAUGUGAAAUCCACGGGCUCAACCCGUGAACUGCAUUUGAAACUGUUUCCCUUGAGUGUCGUAG